CCUACGGGUGGCUGCAGUGGGGAAUAUUGGACAAUGGGCGAAAGCCUGAUCCAGCCAUGCCGCGUGUGUGUAGAAGGCCUUCGGGUUGUAAAGCACUUUCAGUGGGGAAGAAAGCCUUGGGGCUAAUACCCUCGAGGAAGGACAUCACCCACAGAAGAAGCACCGGCUAACUCCGUGCCAGCAGCCGCGGUAAUACGGAGGGUGCGAGCGUUAAUCGGAAUUACUGGGCGUAAAGCGCGCGUAGGCGGUCUGAUAAGCCGGUUGUGAAAGCCCCGGGCUCAACCUGGGAACGGCAUCCGGAACUGUCAGGCUAGAGUGCAGGAGAGGAAGGUAGAAUUCCCGGUGUAGCGGUGAAAUGCGUAGAGAUCGGGAGGAAUACCAGUGGCGAAGGCGGCCUUCUGGACUGACACUGACGCUGAGGUGCGAAAGCGUGGGUAGCAAACAGGAUUAGAUACCCUUGUAGUC
rnacentral:rRNA from 1 species